UACGUAGGUGGCAAGCGUUGUCCGGAUUUACUGGGCGUAAAGGGCGUGCAGGCGGUCUGUUAAGUUCAGGGUGAAAGCUCCCGGCUCAACUGGGAGAGGUCCUUGGAUACUGGCAGACUCGAGGGAGGUAGAGGAGAGUGGAAUUCCCGGUGUAGUGGUGAUAUGCGUAGAUAUCGGGAGGAACACCAGUGGCGAAGGCGGUUCUUUGGGCCUUACCUGACGCUGAGGAGCGAAAGCGUGGGGAGCGAACAGG
rnacentral:rRNA from 1 species